AGGCGGCUCAGAGACUCUGAGCGCAGAGACACGGAGGAGGAGAAGGGGAGAGCGGCACUGAGACCGGGGAAAUACCGGGACUGACAGGCACGACGGUGGCCACACGUCCACGGCGGGGGGAGAGAGCGAGCAACGCAGAUAGGCCGGUGUGCUGAGAGCGAAUCGCCCGGGACGUCUCUGGAGACGGGAAGCGGCGCACCGGGGGCUGUCAGCAGCUCAAAGCCCAACCGCCUGUGGUGAGAGACCUGAGGGGGAGCGGAGAGUCCUCUUUCCCACACACACACACAUUACCGCCCCCCGCGGGGAAGUCAGCGCCAAGCCCGGGGCCCCCGGGAGAUGAUGUGACCAUGCUGAGCGUGCCCGGACCUGGAGCAGCCAUGAGCGGCCGAGAGCAGCCGGAGCCGGCGGGGAACGAUGUCAGUUCUACUGAUGUUGCUCCGCCUAGCCUGGAAAAUGGAGAUACUCCUGCUGAGAAGCGUACUUCCCAUCCAAAGGAGAUAGAGAGGGGCCGCAGAGUGACCCAGGCAUGCAGACACCCACGUUCAAGAGAUCACAAGUACAGUGGGCGAAGUGCAAAGCAAGAAAGGCAAGAAAACACCACCAUUGCCAAUCAAGAACACCAAGGUGAAGACCCUCGAACCCAGCACUCCUGGGGCCGCUCAAACAAACCCUUCUGCCGUUCAUCAGCGGGAGCUCCAAAAUUAGGUGUUGAUGGAAUAAUCGCUCUAUUAAAAAGCAAAUGUGGCAAUGGUCGUGUCAACCUUCAGCCAGUUGUUCGUUUGAUGGAUAUCAUGAAGGACCUUAGCCAACUAUCCAAUGACCUGCGAUCCAGUGGUGUCCGCCUUAAUUACAGCCAUGUCACCAGCCCAUCAUCAGAGCCUGAAGAUGCUGAGCCAGGAUUACAGUACAGCUUUUUUUCUUCUCAAAGCCUUGCUUGUGGACUGAGAAGCCCUGAAGAAAAGCCUUCAGAAACAGUGGAUAAAGAAACAAACCCUGUGUCUCCCAACCCAGACUCUUCUGAGUCUGCCAGUUCAAAUGUUCUUCGAGAGCUUGCAGCUCUUGCCUGGAUGGAACCACAGCCUACAGACACUGUAGAAGAAAGGGAAGAAGAUAAUAGUAGUAGUAAUGUGGGAGAAAGUUCAAGCAAUAUAAGGACUGUGAAUCAAAAUGAUAAAGACGAGUCAUCGGGUGACGAGCAGAGUAAGCAUGAAAUUGAGGAGUCUGGGGAAGAACAUGAAGAAGGUAAACAUGAAGUGGAAUCUGCUGAGCAGGAAGUAUUUAAACAGGAAACAUGUUUUGAUGAGGAACAAAAGAAUACACAGGGUGAGGAGGAGUCAGGGGAGGAGCAUGAAGAGCAUAAACAAGAUGAUGAAUCUGGUGUGGAGCAGGAGGAAAGUAAGCAAGAAGAGUCAUCGGAUGAAGAACAGGAAGGGGAAUCUGCAGUUAAAAUUGAAGACCAGGAAGAUCUGAAAAUUGAAGCAGAGCAGGGUAAAAUAAAUGAAAGUCAGGAACUAAUUAUAGAUAUUAAAAAGCAGGAAAGAACAGGAGGUGGUGAUAAAGAUAAAUCUUCAGAUGACGAAGAUGACAUUGAGGUAGACAAGUGUAGCCAAAUUGAAGACACUUACAAAGAAAAGGAAAGUACUGUAGAAGAGCAGAUUGACGAAAUGCCAUGGAUGCUACCUCUUUUUUCUCAAACAUCAGAAACCCUUAGACGAACUCCGUUUUCUAGCCGCGGACAUCGGUUUGGUUUCAGAGGCCGCAGAAGUGACAGAUCAGGCAGGGGAAGGAGGAGAAGACCUGGAAGGCCAAGGGCAUCUGAUAGCAGUCUUUCCCGUGCGUUUGUAAUGCCUCCUUAUCAUCGAACACCAGAAGAGCCCAGGGCUUACAGACUUAAUGAACAAAAUGCACUAUUUCCAGUUCCUGCUGUUCAUCACAAACCACCCACAGCAGAGGCUGAUGUACAGCAGGGUCCACCACCAAAGCCAAAACGUAGGGGCAUACGCAAAAUGGUAGUUCGGAUUGCCAGAAUUCCAAUGCCAAUGGGAAGAAGAAAUAAAACAAGCUAUAAAGUAUCUUCAUUCAGUAGCACUCUAAGUGUGGAGGGAGGAGAGUUGAUCGGUGGUUCAGGCCCAGGUCCCACCUCCCUUCUAAAGAUGAAAAACAAUGGACGUAAUGUAGUAAUGGUGUUUCCACCUGGUGAACUUCCAAUCAUUCUUAAGAGACGACGUGGUCGGCCUCCCAAGAACUUGGUCUUGUCUAGGGAUACACCACCAGUCCUUCCCCAACCACCUCCUGUUGAACCCACACUACCACCACAGCCUACUCCCAUGUCCCCUCAACCAGUUCCAGAAGGAGAGUUUGCAAAGAAAAGGAGACGACGGAAGCAAAAACUACAAUCACCUCAGCCUUCUUAUGUUGCAGACACUAAUGACAGCAAAUCUGACUACAGUGAUGUACUGGCAAAACUUGCUUUUCUCAACCGACAAAGUCAAGGAGCAUCGAGAACUUCACCUCCUCGUUGUUGGACACCAACAUUACCCGAGUCCGUGCACCAAGCACCUGGAACUCCUAAUAUAUCUCAAUACCUUCAUAGAGUUCAGGGCUAUAGAAGAAGAGGAGGUCGUGGGGGAGGACCAGGGCGAAGAGGAGCUUGCAAUAGCCACAAUGCAGAGCUAUCUCGCUGUUCUUUCACUGAGUUUUUUGAAGGCAUUGGGAAGAAGAAAACAAAACCAAGAACCGUUGAUCCUUUAAAACCACGAAAACGGAGACAGCCAAAGCCUGAACCAGAUCCUAAUGCUAAACCCAAGCGCAAGAGAAGAUCUCGAAAAAAUGGUGCUCUGCUGGGGGACAUGGGAGAAGAACCUAGCUACCAAGGUGUGUCAGAUUGGGGUGGUGAGAGUAAAAGUGGUCCAUGGGCAUCACAGCUUUCCAACAGUCAGUCGGGUAAUCGAGCUUGCAGUUACCAAGGACCAGAACGCACCGGUUUUUCUGCCUUGCAUGAUGGCUCACCAUCUCGUCAAGGUUUUUAUGGUGGAACGGGAUCUGUUACCCAGAGUGAAAGUGGAGGGCAGGAUCGUCAUGGACUGUUUACAGGCUACUUCCGAUCUCUGUUGGACUCUGAUGACUCUUCUGAUCUUGUGGAUUUUUCUUCUGUUGCACAGAGACAAGAAGCAAGAAAAUCUGCAUCUGCCUUCUCUGGGUCAUCAGCCUCACCCAACCCAAGGGCACUUCAGUCAUACCCCAAUUCUCGGGGAGGGAAAUCUAGCAACCCAGAAUCAUCAUACCAAAGUUCAGCAGCCUCCAGGCAGCCAUUUCCCCCCAACCGGGGAAACACAAAUUAUGUGUCACUUACCCAACAAGAAUGCCGUGGAUCUGAUGCCUUUCAAAAGCUGUUGUCACGUUCUCCCAAUUCCCAACAUUCUGGAAACUUUAGCCAGUUCGGAGCCUUUCAAGGAUCUACUGGUCAAAACUUACCUGGCCAUGGAAUUUUUGCACCAAACAAGCAGUACCCUGCUCCACCUGAUUGCUUAGGUAAUAAGGACUGUAGUUUUUCCUUCACUGGUGGUGGCAAUAGUCUCCCGUCAUCACCGGGCAGUGCCCAUAGUAGCACUAGCUUUAGCCAGCAACAACAGAUGUCAGCAGCAGGUUCAGGGUCUAAUGUAGCUAAAAGUCCUUUUUUCAGCACAUCAGAGUUGCCACCAUAUCCACCACUUAGGAGUGAAAGCCGUUCAGGCACCUCUUCACCUGCAGGUUAUAUGUUGCCUAAGGUGUCUGGUCCUAUGUUUCCCGGUGAAAACAGUCGUACCUUUCCAGCAUCAGUAGGAACAGGGCAAUGGGGAUUUCGACAAGGUUAUGGACAGUCUGAUUGGGGCCCUGAUAAUUUUGGGCAACUUUAUGGGCCUGGGUUUGACUGCCACAUGACUGAAUCUAAUGUCAUCUUGGACAUAAGCAACUAUACACCACAGAAGGCUAAACAAAACACUGACAACUUGUCAGAGUCAUCCUCUGACAGUACACAGUACACUCAACCUGGUGCAGGCUAUCGCAGGGCUAACAGUGAAGCCUCAUCUAGUGAAGGGCAGUCUAGUCUCUCCAGCCUUGAAAAAUUGAUGAUGGACUGGAAUGACACAUCAUCUGCACCAGGUUACAGCUGGAACCAAACUGUCCUCUUCCACCAAACAGCUAAACCUGGCAGAGGCCGAAGAAAGAAAACCGAUAUAUUUGAGCCGUCACCCCACCACCACCUGGGCUUUUCUUCAUCCUCCCCUUCAUCUUCAUCAUCAUCUGCUACUGCUCCCCCAUCUGGAUUUCCCACCAAAAGAGGAGGAGGGCCCAGGGGCCCAAGAGGUGGGCGAGGUGGAAAUUGUACAACCAACAAGAAAGAAAGGGGUUCAGGCAAAGCUAAAUUUUCCCCAAAACCACCUGCUCCACCACCAUCCUCCUCAGUCAACUCCCUCUUUCAAGACACCUCAGAUUUAGGACUGGACUGCUAUAGUGGAGAUAGCAGCAUGUCACCUUUGCCCUCCCACUCGCGGGCGUAUGGGGUGGGUGAGAGGGAGCCUCCUUGUGACUUCUCUGGACCCUAUUCCAUGAAUCCAUCUACCCCUUCAGAUGGCACAUUUGGCUUCCAGAGUGACUCUCCUGGGCUGGGCCCUCCCUCCACAGAGCUUGAAUCUAGUAAACACUUCUCCCAUCUCCCUACAGUUGGCAACACCAACACUGGUGCCCCACAUCCUCCACCACCCCCACAUGGACUGGGGUAUGAUCACCCGCUACAAGACUCUCCCUUUUCCCCUAACUGCUCCCCAACGCUUGAGCUGCGGCCAGGGGAGGGAAGAAAACUUGUACCCCCUCCCCACUCAUCCUGUGAUCCCCUGAAACACAGCCUGCCCCCCCACUUACCCUCUUGUAGGGAGCAACUUCCUCCACAACCCACAACACACCAUCGCUAUGACCCUCCCAGCUGCAAGAACGCUGGCUACUGGUAUCCACCCCGCAGUCCUCCUUAUGAUGGUAAGGGUGGCUUACUUUCUGACUUUAUGGGCAGGCGAGCAGAGGGUAUGUCCUGCCUGAGCCCUCACAUCCCAAGCCCUAAAAGAGACAAAGAGACGCUGGACAUGGUAAGGGGGCAUCACAGAGCCUCAUAUCCCUGCCCCCUGAUCAAUGAUAUUACCCAUUCCCCCGUGCAGAGAGACUCCAUGGUGCAGCUCCAGGAUACUUAUCGUUACCCAGCCUUCCCCCCCCAGGGUCCCCCAGUCCUUUCACCCCCGAACCUGAAGGGUGGUUUCUUGGGACCCGAGAACAUCCCAGAGGACAACUUCACAGUCACCUCCCUCUAGGGGGAGUGGCAUGUCCAGAGUCAUCAGGAGCAGCGGAGUCAAAGGGGUGAGCUCAGGUCCUUCCCUCCACCGAAGCCAGAAGAAAUGCUGUGGGAUUCCCCUCCGAGCAAGCACCAGCUACACCAUGAGUGCGCUCCCUGUCUCUUCUACCUGAGCUCUGGAACCUCAUCCCCUCCAGUUCCUCCCCUAAGAAGAAAUUUGUGUUUUGUUUUUUAACUUUUUUUGUUUUAUUUUGUUUUAUCUUCACAAAACCAGCAAAAAUUGUACAUAAGAAUUUUUUUUAAAUGUAUCAAAAUGUAAAAAACAAAAAAACAAAAAAAAAUUAUGCGGAGAUGGGGAGUAUGUGAGGGGUGAGGUAGGGACUGUGGGAGGGUGGAAAGUUUGUUGUUCCCAUGUGAGCAGAGCAGCCUGAAAAAGAGAAGGGCUGCUUUUGUCAAGGAAAGGGUUAAAGGAUCCAUUCCCUUUCCCUCACAUACCCCUAAUCCUGCACAACCACCCUCCCUGCCCCCACCCCCCCAAAUUACCGGCUGCACUGAACUUGCGUAUGUUAAAGCCCUACCACCACCACCCUUGGCGGUUAAAACUAUUUAUUGUAAAUAAGGAUUUCUCAUAAAUUGUGUAUUGUCCAAAA